rnacentral:lncRNA from 1 species
CAAAAAAGAGGAAAAACCAUCUGUCUCAUCUUUUCUAUCAUUUCAUUAAUAUUGCCUUUCUGAUGCUCAUUUUUUGGUUCGAUAUCUUCUAUCUGUUAUCAGAACUCAUCAAAGAAACCAUGCUCAUAUCUGAUACUCCAGACGUGCAUUUCGUCUACAGAGAACUCCAAAGUAGCGCCUUGUAAAUCAGUUGGAAGACCAA